rnacentral:tRNA from 2 species
AAAAGUCCCUCUAUCCCCA